GGCUAGUCCAAGUUCAAUGGUGUUUACAACUAAUUGAUCACAACCAGUUACACAUGCCUUUGUUCCUUCUCCACUCCUACUGCUUCACUUGACUAGCCUUAA
rnacentral:Y_RNA from 1 species